rnacentral:rRNA from 1 species
GAGUUUGAUUCUGGCUCAGGAUGAACGCUGACAGAAUGCUUAACACAUGCAAGUCGAUGGGGAAGUAGUACUUGUACUAUGGUAACCACGGCGGACGGGUGAGUAACGCGUAAAGAACUUACCUUUAGGACAGGGAUAACAGAGGGAAACUUCUGAUAAGACUUGAUAUAAUUAUGUAGUUGCAUGACUGUAUAAUGAAAAGGGAUGCCUAGAGAGAGCUUUGCGUCCUAUUAGUUAGUUGGUGUGGUAAAGGCAUACCAAGGCGAUGAUAGGUAGCCGGCCUGAGAGGGUGGACGGCCACAAGGGGACUGAGAUACGGCCCUUACUCUUACGGGAGGCAGCAGUGGGGAAUAUUGGACAAUGGAGGAGACUCUGAUCCAGCAAUUCUGUGUGCACGAAGAAGGUUUUCGGAUUGUAAAGUGCUUUCAACAGGGAAGAAGAAAGGACGUACCNNGAGAG